rnacentral:sRNA from 1 species
GUCGCGAGAUGUUGGGUUAAGUCCCGCAACGAGCGCAACCCUCGUUCUAUGUUGCCAGCGCGUUAUGGCGGGGACUCAUAGGAGACUGCCGGGGUCAACUCGGAGGAAGGUGGGGACGACGUCAAAUCAUCAUGCCCCUUAUGUCUUGGGCUGCACACAUGCUACAAUGGCCGGUACAAAGGGCUGCUAAACCGCGAGGUGGAGCGAAUCCCAAAAAGCCGGUCUCAGUUCGGAUUGGGGUCUGCAACUCGACCCCAUGAAGUCGGAGUUGCUAGUAAUCGCAGAUCAGCAACGCUGCGGUGAAUACGUUCCCGGGCCUUGUACACACCGCCCGUCACGUCACGAAAGUCGGUAACACCCGAAGCCAGUGGCCCAACUCGCAAGAGAGGGAGCUGUCGAAGGUGGGAUCGGCGAUUGGGACGAAGUCGUAACAAGGUAGCCGUACCGGAAGGUGCGGCUGGAUCACCUCCUUUCUAAGGAGCACCGAAGACGCGAGCUCUUGAGCUCGUCGUCCAGGACCCACGCGAGGACGUUCGUGCCUCGGUGGGGCUCAAGGGUGGAACACUGACCAGUAGGCCGUCUCGCUCGAGACGCACUCCUAGUACAGCCGGCUUGCCGGUGGGAACGGAUCGCGCCUCCGGUGGAGGUGGCCCAAGCGCGCUGUUGGGUCCUGAGGGAUCUAGCCCGCACUCGCAAGAGUGCGGAUCCGACCUCGGUGACACGAGCCCUCGAUCCUUCUGGAUCGGGGGCUCCGUCGCGGAAGGACCGGUCCACGCCGUACCACUCUGUGCUCAGAGCUGGCGGUGGGUGGAGACCGGGACCGCCCGUAGCUUGAGAACUGCACAGUGGACGCGAGCAUCUUUGUGGCCAAGUUAGUAAGGGCGCACGGUGGAUGCCUUGGCACCAGGAGCCGAUGAAGGACGUAGGAGGCUGCGAUAAGCCUCGGGGAGCUGCCAACCGAGCUGUGAUCCGAGGAUUU